GUAAAAAUAUACAGGGCAUAACUACAAGAAAUGAAAACACAAGACAACUGAUUUGGCAAACUAGCAAUUCUACUGCAGAGCUGUGCAUUUACUAACACUGCUUAGCAAUGUAUCUUAACUAUGUAACAAUAGUCUAACUGAAGGAAAAAAAUCAUUUAUCAGUCAAGAUAUAUUUACAAAUCACAGCAGGGAAGGAGAAUGCAGUGAGGAAAGCAAAGAUGACUGGAUUCUAGGAGCAUGGAUGCAGGCAGCCAGUUGUUGCUGAAAACUGUCACUCUUCCAGCUUUGAGUGCUCUGAGUACUCAAGGGCAUGUGGGAAACGAAGGACUCAGUAAGGAUCAGCAGAGAGAGGCAUUUUUGUGCACCAGAAGUUUUUUAACAUGUGCUGAGAAUGGAGAACGUCUGAGUAGUAACAGCUUUUGUAGUGGUGUAGCAUUCUCCUGCUCCAGAACCCUGCACGCUCAGUUCUUCCAGUCCACAGAGCUCCCGCUGAUUUUAUAGAAGAUGAGAGUCCUCAAAGCUGCCUCAUAGGUGCUGCAAAGGAUGUGGAUGGCUUGUCCUUCUCCAGGAUGUGGGGAGAAGCAGAGCAUUAUUUGUCUCUCUCCAUUUUAUCAUUAAACAAGAAUCAGCUAGGCCAUCAGCAUCAAAUUAUCUCUUCAAAGACCUCUUCAGAGAAAUCCAUG
ensembl:lncRNA